rnacentral:RNase_P_RNA from 1 species
CAAGCCGGCCGGGUGAUCGCUGCCGCAGGCUCCUCGUGAGUCCGCGGUGGAGGAAAGUCCGGGCUCCGCAGGGCAGGGUGCCAGGUAACGCCUGGGGGACGUGAGUCCACGGAAAGUGCCACAGAAAACAAACCGCCGCGUUCGCGCGGUAAGGGUGAAAUGGUGCGGUAAGAGCGCACCGCGCCGGCCAACGCCGGUGGCAGGGUAAACCCCACCCGGAGCAAGGCCAAAUAGGGGAACGUACCGCUUUCGGGCGGUGACGUGCGGUCCGCACGAGUUCCCGGGUAGGCCGCUACAGGCCGGCGGUGACGCCGGUCGCAGAUGAAUGAUCACCGUGCUGCAUCGCAGCAAAACAGAACCCGGCUUACAGGCCGGCUUGCCUC